rnacentral:rRNA from 1 species
CCCUUAGAUGUCCUGGGCUGCACGCGCGCUACACUGAUGUGUCCAGUAAGCACCUAACCUUUUCCGAAAGGAACGGGUAACCUUUGCAAAGCACAUCGUGAUGGGGAUAGAUUAUUGCAAUUAUUAGUCUUGAACGAGGAAUUCCUAGUAAGCACAAGUCAUCAGCUUGUGUUGAUUACGUCCCUGCCCUUUGUACACACCGCCCGUCGCUCCUACCGAUUGAAUGUUCCGGUGAGCUCUUCGGACUGCGCGGUCUGCAGUUUCUGCGUUCCGUGCGGAAAGUUGCGCAAACCUUAACAUUUAGAGGAAGGAGAAGUCGUAACA